UCCUCGGGUUACGUGGUAACAAAUCUAUUUGUCCUGAAAUGGCGCUAAAAGUAAAAAAUACAUACUCAACUCGGCAAAGAGGCCGUCGCGGCCAUCUUGAUUGGCAGAAACCACCCCCAGACAGCAUCAUGAUGUGAUGACAUCAUCUUGCGAGAUUUUGCGCAGAGUCCUCAAUUAAGUUGGCCGGGCCAGCCCCUACGCGAGCAAAUGGAUGAGAACAUGCAUCAGGUCGGGGAGGAGAACUUCAUGUCUGUGGACCUCUGCACCAGCUGCUUAGCUAGGAUGUAUAGGUAUACUAACAGUUUUGCAUUUACAUUGAUUUGCUCACG